rnacentral:rRNA from 1 species
GCUACCUGAUUCAGCGGCGGACGGGUGAGUAAUGCCUAGGAAUCUGCCCGAUAGUGGGGGACAACGUUUCGAAAGGAACGCUAAUACCGCAUACGUCCUACGGGAGAAAGUGGGGGAUCUUCGGACCUCACGCUAUCGGAUGAGCCUAGGUCGGAUUAGCUAGUUGGUGAGGUAAUGGCUCACCAAGGCGACGAUCCGUAACUGGUCUGAGAGGAUGAUCAGUCACACUGGAACUGAGACACGGUCCAGACUCCUACGGGAGGCAGCAGUGGGGAAUAUUGGACAAUGGGCGAAAGCCUGAUCCAGCCAUGCCGCGUGUGUGAAGAAGGUCUUCGGAUUGUAAAGCACUUUAAGUUGGGAGGAAGGGCAGUAAGCUAAUACCUUGCUGUUUUGACGUUACCAACAGAAUAAGCACCGGCUAACUCUGUGCCAGCAGCCGCGGUAAUACGAAGGGUGCAAGCGUUAAUCGGAAUUACUGGGCGUAAAGCGCGCGUAGGUGGUUCAGCAAGUUGGAUGUGAAAUCCCCGGGCUCAACCUGGGAACUGCAUCCAAAACUACUGAGCUAGAGUACGGUAGAGGGUGGUGGAAUUUCCUGUGUAG